rnacentral:rRNA from 1 species
CCUACGGGUUGCAGCAGUGGGGAAUAUUGCACAAUGGGCGCAAGCCUGAUGCAGCCAUGCCGCGUGUGUGAAGAAGGCCUUCGGGUUGUAAAGCACUUUCAGCGGGGAGGAAGGCGGUGAGGUUAAUAACCUCAUCGAUUGACAUUACCCGCAGAAGAAGCACCGGCUAACUCCGUGCCAGCAGCCGCGGUAAUACGGAGGGUGCAAGCGUUAAUCGGAAUUACUGGGCGUAAAGCGCACGCAGGCGGUCUGUCAAGUCGGAUGUGAAAUCUCCGGGCUCAACCUGGGAACUGCAUUCGAAACUGGCAGGCUAGAGUCUUGUAGAGGGGGGUGGAAUUCCAGGUGUAGCGGUGAAAUGCGUAGAGAUCUGGAGGAAUACCGGUGGCGAAGGCGGCCCCCUGGACAAAGACUGACGCUCAGGUGCGAAAGCGUGGGGAGCAAACAGGAUUAGAUACCCGAGUAGUC